ensembl:lncRNA
GCCACACCUACAGCAUAUGGAGAUCCUGGGCCAGGGGCUAAAUCCAAGCCAAAGCUGCGACCCAUGCCACAGCUGUGGCAACACACUGUGCCAGGCCAGGGAUCGAACCUGUGCCAUCACAGAGACAAAGCCAGAUCCUUAACCCACUGUGCCACAGCAGGAACUACUUCAUCUUUCUUGAUCACCUGAUCCGAUGCUCUCUCUCCCUUCUUUCCACAUAAAUAGGCAUGAAUCUUAAUGUCAGGAAUUCAACUGUACCAGAAAUGUUCUAUUUCAUUGUAUUCCUUGAAUCCAAGCAAAUGAGGCUCUAAAUAUCCAUUCUGUCCGGCUUGUAGGAAAUCCUAUCUUUGGCAUUACUGGGUUAUCUCCCUUGCCCCCGAGUCCCACAAAGAUCUGGGAAGCUUCUGCGAUACCCAGGAAAUAGUCAAAGAGGAUCUUCAGUUUACUGUGAUGGCAGCUACCAUCAUCACUGUCUUAGUACAGGUGGUCCACAGAUGUCCAGGUAGCCAAGAUUCUAAACCUUACCAAGGCACAUUGCUCUGCGGUGUAAAAACCUCCAAGAGCUAAAGGAAGGCACAGUUGAGGAUACUAGCGUUGGCCAAGUCUGCUUUAAUGAAGGGACAAUGAUCUACCUCCCCUAUUCCACCCUUCUCACUAAGAGACACUCUUCCAGAGAGUCUGCUGUGGUUCAGUGGCUUAGGAACCCAACAUAGUAUCUGUGAGGAUGCAGGUUCAAUCUCUGGCCUCCUUCAGUGGGUUAAGGAUCUGGCAUUGCUGCAAUCUAUGGUGUGGUUCGCAGAUGUGGCUUGGAUCCGGUGUUGCUGUAGCUGUGGUUUAGGCCUGCAGCUGCAGCUCCUAUUCGAUCCCUAGCCCGGCAACUUCCAUAUGCCAUGCAUGCAGCCUUAAAAAGAAAAAAAGAAAAGCUAUGCUUUUCCAAUAAAAUGUUACUUCUUAUAUUUAAUAAUUAUUUAUGAAAGUACAAUAUGAGUUUUAUUUUUAAAUAUUAUUAGUUACACUGUACUAGCUAUUACAUCCCUUAGAAUUAUAAUAUUUAAUCUUAUAAAGGAUUUUAGAUUUCAACUUUUAAAAUGUGAGGGAGAAUGUAGCUUUUCAAAAUGCUUUUAGAGGGAAUGCAAAGAAACCACAAAAAAGAUUUGGAAGACCAGUGAUUUAGACCAGCGUUUCCGGAAGUGUGGAACAUAGACAUCUCUUCACAUGGAAAACAAGAUGAUGUUUCAGGCCGCGAUGAUGGUCCACGGACUUCGCCGGUCAAACAUCUACCCCGUCCUGUUUGUCAUCCACCAUAUGCCCUUUAUCCCAUCUUGCUGUGAGACUCCUCAGCGCUUACUCUGCACCCCUCCCCAACACCCUCCCACAUCUGCCUCUUCCAGUGCCCCUUCCUGGUUCUUGACACUGCCCUCCAAUGGCUUCCUUCUCAGUACCCUUUCUUAACCACCACUCCACUUUAAUUCCGGCCCAGGGCUCCGCUGACUCCAGCCACCUCUCCUCCCUUAUACGGCUCCCUCCAAGACUCUUCUCCCAGCAUUCUCUUCCUUUAUGAGUCACAGCCAAUCACAGCCUCAGUCCGCUUGCAAUCUCUCACCCCCUAGACCCUGUUCCCUACUUGUACAUGGAAACACACAAACAUCAUGAAAAUGAUUCGGAAGUGACUGUUUUAAACAUAAUGUAUGUGAAUCUGAAUAAGACGCUUGACCAAAUCCCUUAUUAUAGCCACAUAGACAAAACAGAGACAUGUGGUUAGAUAAAAAUACAGUGAAUUAGGUCCAUUUAUCUGAAGGGAUUUGGAAUUCGGUCACUCUAAAUGUGACAGCAUAUAUUCAGAGCUAAAGGAGAAAUACAGGCUAUAAGUGAGGAGAGUAGAGGAUGAAGAGAUCUCCUUGGACUUGGUCAGUUAGGGAACCCUACUUGCAGAAGAUGGGCUAUGAGUUGGGUGUCAGCCACCACCCUGUUGUAGCUCAGCUGUCUCCAAAGUUCACCCAGAUACAUGGGGUUAUUCCACCAUUCCUCAGAACGUGCACAUUCCAGUCUGGGAUUUGUAGAUGUUCUCCAGAUACUCUUCAAUGAAUGAAUACCUUGAAAUGACAAACCCCUUAGUAUUCAGUGACAGCCCCUGCAUCAGCCAGCUAUUGCUACAAAACUACCAUCAUAAACAUUUCAGCGUUUACUUCUCACACACCAUUAGGUGCCUGGAGCUCAGAUGAACUAGCUUGAGUUCAGCUAGCAGGCCCUCAUCAGGCUAUAGAUGCACCGGGAUUGGUUCCUUGCAACGGGCUCUAGCCUCUCCUGCAUGCGUUAAUUCUUGGGCUGAGGCUAAAUGAGUGUAGCUACCCAGGGGAAGCUCUUCUCAUAAAGAUGGAAAAGGCAUGAGAGGGAAAAUAGAAACAUAAAAGGUCUCUUAAGGCUUUGGUUCAAAACUGGACUUGUACUGCUUCUUCCCCUGUUCUGUUGUCCAAAGUUAAGUCUCAAGGCCAAGCCCAAAGAGAAGAGGUAGGGAAACCUAUUUUGCUUUUUUUAAGAGAAGAUGCAAAAUUAUAAGAUAAAGGGCAUAGAUACAGGGAGGGAUGUAGAAGUGGGGCUAAUUAAGCCAAUAUUCCACAAUCCUCCAUCUGCUUCCCUGGGCCCAAAGAGUCCACCCAAUCAUCAGUCCUCAUUCUGUCUAGGUCUUUUUAGGAUGCCAGGAAUCUCGCCGUGCCUUUCCCUAAACCCCAUACCACAGCACUUUCUGUGACAGGGAAGUUAGCCACCAGAGACCUGACUCCCUCCCAGCUCUUUCUAAGUACUAUACCUUUGUUUUUGAUCCACUCCACCUCCAUCCGAUUGAAGUCCCAAGUAAUGAUACUAUCUGCACUUAACACAGCAAUUCGCACAGGCUGAAAGUCAAGUCACUUCCCCAGACAGGGUAGUCUCUUUACCUCCUUGUAUGUUGAAAAAAUCAGGCCAGAGACAAUUCUGUGAUGGAAUCUACCUUCUCUCUUCCCUGAAGGGACUUAUAUUUUGUGUUUACCCAAUAUUUUGUGGUCUCAGACCCUGUUGGGCUCAGUCAACCCCAACUGGGCCCCGUGCAUGCUCUAAGGCCAGUGCCAUUUUAUAAGUUAUGUGCAUUGGAUAUGGUCUGUUGGAACGUGGUCUCCAGUCCCACCUCCUUCCAUUGUGUCUUACUAUACUAAGAAAUCCAAGAAGCUAAAUACUAUAUUUCUCAGACUCUCUUGCAGCCACGCUUCUGAAUAUGAACAGGUUUCAUCAAUGGGAAGGAAUACAUGAGGCAGAGGUCAUCUUAUUCCUGAUUUUCUGCCUCUGAGCAGAGAUGUGGAGUGUUUCUGAAGCAGAUUUCCAAUGUUUAAUUUACACCCCUGGGGUGUCAAUAAUGGCUUCCUGGACAUAUUCCAGGGGCAGUCUCUGACCCUCUACCUUCCUAACCAUGACAGAGGUAGGAUUUCCUUGGGGUGGUCAGUUCUGUGAUACCCUGGCAAUCAUUCUUGUUUGUCCAGCCCUUCCGACAAUAUGGUAAGCACCUGAUUCUCUAAACUCAAAAACUUUCUAUUUAAAUACAUCAAGGGGUUUCUGUUUCCAGCACUGAACCCCAAUAGAUACAGAAUGGUGUCCCUCCUGGACUUGAACUACAGUAAUAUCCAUAUAAGUAUUACAGGUUUUCCAAAAAGAAUGAUAUCCAGUACAUCCCUAUGAGCAGAGGUUUUCUAAUAAACAUUGCCCAAACAACAUUUUUACUCAGCUAAGCCAAGAACAAACAAAGCGAAUGCCUUCAGAGCUUCAGUCAGCAAAGAAGAAAGAGAGCAUCACCACCAGACCUAAGGGAGCCAGCCUCGGGCUGCUCCCAUCCCAACAUCUUUGACUCCUUCUGCUUGGCUGCGCCUUGCCAUGGGGCCUCCUUGGAUGCCCUUGAAGUCUCCAGGCUGAUGCUAGGAGACACUAGACCAUUCCUGUCAGUCCACAUGGACAAUGCCAAAGGUUAUCCACCACCCACAGACACUCCUCAGAAAUUACAAGAACAGCUUCUCUGUAAUAAAGACGGGAAAAGAUGGGAGGGUGAAGAAUGAUUAAUGGCCCCUUCAUAAUUGAUGGGAAGCAAGUGCGAUCUGCAUUUUCGGUAUUGAUAUUUUCUCACACCACGACAUUCCCACAUGGUAGCAACCUGGGAGAUAAAAACAACAGCCUUGUUUGGGGAAAGAAGGGAGUCUGUGUUCUUCAGUUGCUCUGGAAGAGAGCAUUCAUUUCAGGAAGUGUUGCCAUAGGUGGCCAAAGGCUCCCGUGGUGUCUGGCAAAGCUGGAGGCUCUGGAAAGUCCAAAGGUGGUAUAUUUAAUAAUAAGCUCAUUUUCUUUCAUCUUCAUGGUAAGAGUCUAAUCCCAAAGGCAAGACACAGCAGGUAAGAUGAGAUGAAGUCCCCAUCAGACUUUGCAGCUGAAACUAAUAGGGGAGAGAGGCUGAAAAACAGCAGCAUGGGAUUCUGCUUCUGUAAGAGGAACUGAAACAAAGACAAUGAAGGGGGAGCUGAUGAGGAAGAAGGAAACAAAGGAAUAGAAGCCACAAAGCAGGAAUCUAUGAGCAGGAAGCAGACAAGGGCCCCAUGUGCAUGGACUGCCCAAGGGGAGAAGGGAAGCACUUUAGUGACAGGAGAUGAAGCCGCAGAGGGGGAUACAGGGCCACAAGGGAAAGCAUUCCAAAAUGUACCCUCUCCACAGCCACACUGGCUGGAAAACUUCUGCACAUUGGAGCUUACUUUUAAACAGUACGAUCAUUUUUGAAGGUGGAGGGACAAAAAUAUCUGCUAAACAUUUCUCUAGCCAUUUAGCAAAAUGCUUAAGAGGUAAAAAAUUAGGCAAAAGAACGUUUAAAUUUUUCCCUGAUUAUGAAAGUAACACAUGUCCAUUGCAGAAAAUACAAUUAUGCAAGAAAAACAAAAAAUCCAUGCAGUCCCACCAUGAAGAUAUAACUGCUACACUGCUUUAUUUUCUAUGUAGCUCUUUCUGAAAAAAUGAGACAUGCAGCAUAUGAAGUCGUAUGUUCUCAUUUCAUCACUACAUAUUGUUUUGUAUUUUCCCUUAUCACUAAAUAUUUUUAAAACAUACUUUUUGACUAAAUUACUAUUUCUUAUAUAGAAAUCUUUGGCAAUUUUCUGGUUAUUUCCUUAGGACAAAUCCCUAAAAGUUGAAUUACCAUGUCAAUGGAAAUGUUUACCUCUAAAGCUCUUAAUGCUUAUUGCCAACUGUUUUACAGAAAGUUCCUAUCAAUUUACACUCCCACCACCAUGUAUAAGGGUGCAUUCAAACUGCUUCUUGAUUUUAGCUUUAAAAAAUCACCCAUCUCACACAAUGUGGUGCUAUCAUGGAAAUAUGUGAAGAAACCUGAGUUUUGGUCAUGGUUCUGCUACAUCUUUGGGAAAGUUCGGUUCACUUUUGCACGCCUCAGUUACCUUUAGGAACACUACAACCUCUAACAUUUUUUGAAAUUGUGUUUUCUUAACAAAGAAAGAUAACACAAAGAGUGUCAUAGUUCACCCAAUUAGCACAAUGUCAAAUAUUAGUAUUAAAUGAAUGUAUGUGUUACUGAAAAAUCUAGGCAUUUGUGGUUGGUGGAAUGUAAUACUCCUGAGAAUAGUCACUAGAAUAAGACAUUAAGGGAGGGCUUUGCAUCUGUUUGGUUCACUGCUAUAUCACCAUGCCAAACUCCAUGCUGGGAAUAUACUAGGUACUCUAUAAAUAUAGGUUGAAUGCAAGAACGAAUUCAUGAGGAAAGUUUAUUAAAUAGAUGUAGCCAACUAAUAUAACCAGUAUGCCCUUGGGCCACCUGAAGGUCAUCCAUAGCUUCAGUGGACAGUCCCUGCAUACACUGGCAGAUGCCAGCCUCAAGCACCUAGGUCUCUGCCUGAGGACUUUUUCUGGCCACAGUAGCAGUCUCUGUCCAUGCAGGGCAAGCUAGAAGUGCUAGGGAACUAACAGCCCCAGGAGUAUCUCGCAAAUAGUGAGGGCUGGGAGUUAGCAGAUAAGUGCUCCAACUUCCUU